CCUGCAUUUUCGCCGCCUUCACAGCUUUCUGGUAUGUGGCUAGAUUGUCCCUUGAUAAACCCAGUGAUACAUGUAAUUUGUCCUUCUUCCACCUUUGUUCAGCUUGUCUGCAGUGUUGCCUAAAGGCCCAUGUGAAGUCAUUUAGCCAGGUGUAGGUUUAA